rnacentral:rRNA from 1 species
GUGCCAGCCGCCGCGGUAAUACGGAGGGUGCAAGCGUUAAUCGGAAUUACUGGGCGUAAAGCGCGCGUAGGCGGUUCGUUAAGUUAGAUGUGAAAGCCCCGGGCUCAACCUGGGAACUGCAUUUAAAACUGGCUAACUAGAGUAUGGUAGAGGAGAGUGGAAUUUCAGGUGUAGCGGUGAAAUGCGUAGAUAUCUGAAGGAACACCAGUGGCGAAGGCGGCUCUCUGGACCAAUACUGACGCUGAGGUGCGAAAGCGGGGGUAGCAAACGGGAUUAGAAACCCCGGUAGUCC